rnacentral:rRNA from 1 species
UACAGAGGUCCCGAGCGUUGUUCGGAUUUAUUGGGCGUAAAGGGUGCGUAGGCGGCGGAGUAAGUUGGGUGUGAAAUCCCGGGGCUUAACCUCGGAAUGGCAUUCAAUACUGCUUCGCUCGAGUACUGGAGAGGAGGCUGGAAUUUACGGUGUAGCAGUGAAAUGCGUAGAUAUCGUAAGGAAGGCCGGUGGCGAAAGCGAGCCUCUGGACAGUUACUGACGCUGAGGCACGAAGGCCAGGGGAGCAAACGGG